UGGUGGAGUGAUCUGUCUGCCUAAUCGCGAUAACGAACGAGACCUCAGCCUGCUAAAUAGUUCGUCCUACUCCUUGUAGGUGCGAGCUUCUUAGAGGGACUAUUCUGUGACUAACGAAUGGAAGUUUGAGGCAAUAACA
rnacentral:rRNA from 1 species